GACAGCAUGGUAUAGUGGUUUUCGUGUUGGGUUAUGACUCUGGAGACCAGGGUUCAAAUCUCUGCUCGGCCA